rnacentral:rRNA from 1 species
AUUGAACGCUGGCGGCAGGCCUAACACAUGCCAGUCGAGCGGAUGAAGGGAGCUUGCUCCUGGAUUCAGCGGCGGACGGGUGAGUAAUGCCUAGGAAUCUGCCUGGUCGUGGGGGAUAACGUCCGGAAACGGGCGCUAAUACCUCAUACGUCCUGAGGGAGAAAGUGGGGGAUCUUCGGACCUCACGCUAUCAGAUGAGCCUAGGUCGGAUUAGCUAGUUGGUGGGGUAAAGGCCUACCAAGGCGACGAUCCGUAACUGGUCUGAGAGGAUGAUCAGUCACACUGGAACUGAGACACGGUCCAGACUCCUACGGGAGGCAGCAGUGGGGAAUAUUGGACAAUGGGCGAAAGCCUGAUCCAGCCAUGCCGCGUGUGUGAAGAAGGUCUUCGGAUUGUAAAGCACUUUAAGUUGGGAGGAAGGGCAGUAAGUUAAUACCUUGCUGUUUUGACGUUACCAACAGAAUAAGCACCGGCUAACUUCGUG